GGGCCGCUCCCGCGGCAUAUGGAGGUUCCCAGGCUAGGGGUCCAAUCAGAGCUGUAGCCACUGGCCUAAGCCAGAGCCACAGCAUCGCGGGAUCCAAGCCACGUCUGCAACCUACACCAUAGCACACGGCAACGCAGGAUCCUUAACCCACUGAGCAAGGGCAGGGACUGAACCCACAACCUCAUGGUUCCUAGUCGGAUUGUUAACGACUGCGCCACGAUGGGAACUCCCUAUCUUGAUUUUUUUAAAAAAAUAAACAUCAUCUGCAAUGUAAAAAUAUUGCAACAUUUUGAGGAGUACAAGAAUAUCUUAUCUUGCAGUUCCCGUUAUGGCUCAGCAGUUAAAUCUGACUAGCAUCCAGGUGGACGCAGAUUUGAUCCCUGGGUUAAGGAUCGCAGUGGGUUAAGGAUCCAGUGUUGCCAUUAGCUGUGAUAUAGGUUGCAGAGCGGCUUGGAUCCUGAAUUGCUGUGGCUGUGGUGUUGGCCAGCAGCUACAGCUUUGAUUUGACCCCUAGCCUGGGACCCUCCAUAUGCCACAGGUGAGGCCCUAAAAGCAAAAUAAAACAAAACAAAGAUUAUCUUAUCUCAUCAGUUCUAUUCCAUGAUGUACUAGAGGCUCUAGCUACAACAAUUCAAAAGUCAUAAAUAUUGGAAAUGAAAAAGUAAAACUAUCAUUAUUUACAACUGACAUGACUGUAUAUACACAAAAUCCUACAGAAUUUUUAAAAACACCACCAGCAACUCCAGUAAAUACAAACUAAAUCCACAAAUAUAUCGACCGUAUUUUUACGUACUAUCAACAAGCAGUUGAAAAAGUAGAAUUAAAAACAAUCCAAUAGGAGUUCCUGUCAUGGCUCAGUGGGUGACGAACCCACUAGUACCCAAGAGGAUGAAGGCUAGAUCCCUAGCGUGGCUUGUGGGUUAAGCAUCUGGUGUUGCCAUGAGCUGUUGUGUAGGUCACAGGUACAGCAAGGAUCCUGCGUUGCUAUGGCUGGGGCAUAGGCCUGAAGCUGCAACUGAUUUGACCCCUAACCUAGGGACUUCCAUAGGCCACAGGUGCAGCCCUGAAAAUAAAUUUUAAAAAGCAAAAUAAAUAAAUAAAUAAUAAAGACAAUCCAAUAAUGCAACGAAAAUACAUCAAAUACUCAGAAAUACAUUUAAGCAAAGAAGUGUAAGAUAGCUAUACUAAAUAUUACAAAAUAUUUCUAAAAUUAAAUGAGACCUAAGUAAGUGGAUAGAUUUACCAUUUUCAUAACUGCAGAUUCAACAUUGCUAAGACUCAGACUCCUCAAACUGAUCUACACUAAAAGGAAAUAUUUGUAAAAAUCCCAGCAGGCUUCAGUUAAAAAACAAGUUGAAAUGCUUCUAAAGUUUACACAUAGGCGUUCCCAUCAUGGCUCAGUGGAAAUGACUCUGACUAGUAUCCAUGAGAAGGCAGGUUCGAUCCCUGACCUCACUCAGCAGAUUAAGGAUCCGGCAUUGCAGUGAGCUAUGGUGUAGGUCGCAGACAUGGCUCAAAACAUGAGUUGCUGUGGCUGCGGUGUAGGUCAGCAGCUACAGCUCCGAUUCAACCUCUAGCCUGAGACCCUCCAUAUUCUGCGGGCUCAGCCCUAAAAAGAGAAAAAAAAUUAGAAUAAAAAAUAAAUAAAGUCUACACCGAAAAGUAAAGAAUCUAGAAUGAUCCAAACAAUCUUCACAAAUAAACACAGAAGACUUAAACCACUGGAUUUCAAAUCUUAAAAAAUGUACAAUAACUAACACUGCACAACUGCUAUAAAGAUAGGUAAUCAGAUUGAUGAAACAAAAUAUACAGGCACAGACUUCCUCACAUAAAGUUCAAUGAUUUUGAAUCAAAGUGCCAACUCAGUGCAUCAAAGUCUUUAACAAAUGUGACAAGAAUCACUAGAAAAAAGUGAAGCUCAAGCACUAACUACGCUUCCAUAUAUGAAAAUUAAAGCAAGACGCAACAAUUUCUAAAAAGGUAGAACAACAGGAAAGUUUUGUCACACUCCUAAGGAUAAGCAAAGAAUCCUUAGGAUACCAAAACAGGAACUACAGAAGGAAAAAAAUAAACUUCAGACUUUACCAAAAUUAAAACUUGAUCUCCAUUAAGGAUAUAAAAAGGCAAGCCACAGACUGGAAGAAAAUAUUCACAAAGGACUAGUAUAACAUACACACACUAGAAAUAAAUAUCCCCAACGGGGAUCUGAGGGAGGGGGUGAGGAAAGGGGUCAACACUUCACAGGAAUCUCAACAUGACAAGGUCACUGCUCAGUGAAAGAGGCUGGGAUGCUUCCACACACAUUCCCUGAGGUCUCUACACCAUGAGAUGCACGGUCAGUGGUGCUGAGACAAGGAAAGGCAGUUCCACUCUUGCUUCUCUAAAAGCCAGUGACCCGCCCCUUAUGCUGAGUCUCAGGCUGGCUUUGUUCUCAGUGUCCAGAGGCAGCAGCUCCUUCUCCUGCGCUCCCCCCUCUGGGAAGGAAUGACUGAGGGCACCUGCUUCCCAUUUUCUUUUUCUUGGGCAUUUUCACUUUCUAGGGCUGCAGUCGCUGUGUUUUGUGUGCGGGGAGGAGGGAAUGACACGUUCCAUUUGGUCCCACCACUGCAGCACUGGGGGCUCAAGGAGCCUCAGGACUAGCCCUUUGUGUCCAGGAAAGGAGAUGAAAAGUGGGUUUUUUAGGCAAAGCCAAGCUGUUGAUUAUUUUUUUUCUUUUUUCUGUAUGAGGGCUGUGUGGGGAGGAAAGGUUUUGCAAUUUAGUUUUCCUCAAUAAAUUAUUGCAUUUUGCUGAGGGUAGCUGAGUUCAAUUUUGCAUGCUCAGAGCAGUGCCUUUUUUUUUUUAAUUAAAAUGCCUAAAUCCAACAUCUGCAUCUUAGCUUCAUGUUUACUUGCUUUUGUAGUAUGAAGAUUUCUUGGAAGUGAUGAUAUUAAUGACAAGAACUGUAGAUAAUUGAAACUCCUUACUCAAUGUUAUCCUGGACUUUGGCAAAUUGUAUGAAAAGUUACAUUAAUUUGAAAUAUUUAAUGCUCAAUGGUCUAUUUUGGAAAAUAAUUGAUUUUUAUUCUGUGAGUCUAUAUGGGAAAGUGUCCAUUAACAUCUUCAAGCAUUACAAACCUAUAAUACAAAUUCAUGAGGUGAUAUUAUGUCCCUGGAAACUGCCUGUAACAAUAACUUCAAUGCAACAUAAUGCCAUUAUAAGUCCAUUUCUCCCACUUAAAAAGACAUAUGGUUUUUUUAAAUGUAACUGCCCCUUACUGAGUGCUCAACAUGCACUUAGAUGUUACGCUAAGAAUUUUAUUAACAGGACUUCACUGUGUCUUCCCAACAACCCUCAUGAAGUUGGUCUUAUUUCCCUACUUUACAGAGAAGGAAAGUGCGGCUUUGUGGGGCAGAGGCAGGAAGGGGGGAGCCAGGACUCAAGGGUGGAAAGGGAGACCGCGGCCUCGCUCCACCACUCUCACAGCGCUGACCUCACACAUGGUUGUCAGGGGGAAGCGCACCACACAAACAGUUUUCUUCAUGCUGCCUGCCUUCCUCCUCUGGAAGGCGAAUGGCUCCAGUUUAGCCACGAACCACAAUGUGACUGGACAGGCCACAGAUAUGGGAGGGAUGAGUCAGUGCAUGCGAUGGCGUCCACACUUCUGAUUCCCCUCUGCAAGGACAGGGCCUCUGAAUGUCUUUGCCUUAGGGUUGGGCUGACCUGCAGUGGGGACCACUGCUCAGAAUCCAGGGUUUUCUUUAGCCAUCCUUGGCAUCACUCUUACAAACCAGUAAAUAAACUGUCUGAGAUUUUAUUUAAGGGAAUGAGAAAGUAUUAGAUGAGGGAAAGUAUAGAGAAGAACACUUUACACUUUAGAAGUGAUGCAAUUAAAAAUGAAAAUGAUCAGGUAUCUUCCAAAGCUUAUCAAAUAUACCAAGGAUGAGCAGAAUUAGCAAAGAUGAGUUCAAACACACUGGGCACUACGUCCUUUAAAACAAAACUGAACAACCCUCUUCAAGCCCUUUCCUGACCCCACUCUCAGCAGAUGACAGAAAGAAAAGACUGGCUCUCACAGGGAACUCAGCUUCUGGCAGCACCUCCUGCCCUCCACCCACAGGGGCCUUUUCCUCUCAUCUGGGAUCAAAGGUCACCUCCUGGAAGCUCCGCCCACCUCCUCCUGGACCAGGCUCCCCACUGCCUCCAACCCCACAGCCAGUUUGCCUUCCAGGACUUUCUGCACAGCCCUCUCGCACAAUCAGGAUCCAAAGGCAGCAAGGGGGGAGUCUCUGGAUGCCCCCCACCCUUCGGGCGGCUGGAGGAGACCCAUGAGGGGAGGGCUUCGUGCCUGACUCCUCCCUGAGCCUCAGGGCCUCAACACUGGUCCCUGUUUGGUGAAGGGAAGGAGGCAGAGAGGGAAAUACCACCACGUCCUCCUCUGAUCCACAAACUAAACCCAACAAGCAGCAGCCCCUCCUCAGAGCCUUCAUUCCCAACAGGCCUCCCUCCUGUUUCAGUCAGACUCCUUCAGAGCAGCCUGCCUGCACCUCCGCUCCCUCCAGUCUCAGCCCUUUGCCCUCUGGCAUCCUCCCAGCUGAAACCUUCUCCUCUGGUCACCACAGGCCUCCUGGUCCCACAUCAGCCAGCAACUCUCCACGGACAUAGCUUCUCCUUUGCCUUGAAGAGACCGUUCCUUCCUCGGUUCCCCAACCUAUUCCCUCCUCUCUUCCCUGCUGUUCAUAUGUGUCUCCUCUGCUCUUGCUCUGAAUAGAAAGGCUUCCAUAACCUUCUGAUCUUGGCCCCUAAAAAUACUUCCCCCCUCUCUCUCUGGCAAGCUUACCCAUCUUCACAGAUUCAGCUACUACCUGCUCAGUGAGGAAUAUGCUGGUACCUGCUCACCCCAGGUCUCUCUCACACACCAGAUUCUCACUUCCAAUUAGAUAAAGUAUGUCUGCACCUGAAGGUCCCAAAACGUCAAGAUAAUUGACCUAAAAGUGACAGAACUGGGAUUGGAAAUCAGUGAGACUAGAGUUUUCUCUCCUCACACCACUGAGAAUGUUUUACACGGAAAUCAGGUAGCAUCCAUAAGUGUCCUUCACACCAAGGAAAAAUAUGUUACAGUUUCUGAUUUUGAGGACUAAUUAACCAUGUGCUCAGCACACAGUGGGCAGCCAGCUCUGCAAACCCAAGCUUGCUCUAACUUGCAGAAGCAGAGACACAGGACCUUUCACAAAAUGUUUUCAAAUUAAUUAACAAUCACUGUCAAAAUGGGUUUGUAGGGAAACACCGUUUCUGAGGAUAAAUUAUGUAGCUAAACUGAGCAGGAUACAUUAUAAAACAAGUUUGCAGAAAACAAAAAAAUAAAAUCUCUCUGUAGUAA
rnacentral:lncRNA from 1 species